CAGUCGCCGCGGUAAUACGUAGGUGGCAAGCGUUGUCCGGAAUUAUUGGGCGUAAAGGGCUCGCAGGCGGUUUCUUAAGUCUGAUGUGAAAGCCCCCGGCUCAACCGGGGAGGGUCAUUGGAAACUGGGAAACUUGAGUGCAGAAGAGGAGAGUGGAAUUCCACGUGUAGCGGUGAAAUGCGUAGAGAUGUGGAGGAACGCCAGUGGCGAAGGCGACUCUCUGGUCUGUAGCUGACGCUGAGGAGCGAAAGCGUGGGGAGCGAACAGGAUUAGAUACCCGGGUAGUCCCUGUCUCUUAUAC
rnacentral:rRNA from 1 species